UACGGGGGGGGCAAGCGUUGUUCGGAAUUACUGGGCGUAAAGGGCUCGUAGGUGGCCAACUAAGUCAGACGUGAAAUCCCUCAGCUUAACUGGGGAACUGCGUCUGAUACUGGAUGGCUUGAGUUUGGGAGAGGGAAGUGGAAUUCCCGGUGUAGUGGUGAAAUGCGUAGAUAUCGGGAGGAACACCAGUGGCGAAGGCGACUUCCUGGCCUGUUCUUGACGCUGAGGCGCGAAAGCUAGGGGAGCAAACGGG
rnacentral:rRNA from 1 species